rnacentral:rRNA from 1 species
UUUGUCUCAAAGAUUAAGCCAUGCAUGUCUCAGUGCAAGCCGUAAUUAAGGCGAUACCGCGAAUGGCUCAAUAUAUCAGUUUUGGUUCCUUAGAUCUUACUCAGUUACUUGGAUAACUGUGGCAAUUCUAGAGCUAAUACAUGCAAUCAGAACUCUGACCAGUGAUGGAAUGAGUGCUUUUAUUAGAUCAAAACCAAUCGGCGGCGGUCGCAAGGCCAAAGUCGUUCUUUUUGAUGAAUCUGGAUAACUUUUGCCGAUCGCACGGUCCAGCACCGGCGACGCAUCUUUCAAAUGUCUGCCCUAUCAACUUUCGACAAGUCUGGUGCCAGCAGCCGCGGUAAUUCCAGCUCCAAUAGCGUAUACUAAAUUGGUGGCGGUUAAAAAGCACGUAGUUGCAUUUGUGCGCCGCGCUGUCGGUGCACCGCUUUCGCGGUGAUACUGACACGUCUGCGGAGCAUAUCGUCGGUGAG